CUACUCAUCAGCCUAUCAUUGGAUGAAAAUUCCCUCAUUUUCUUCCAAAUUCUCUGAUAUGUGGAGUACAUUCAUUUAUCUAGAGGGUGAUGGAGACUCCUUUUCAAAAAAUUGAGAUGCAGUGUGUGUUUUCUUUGCUCUUUGUAUGAAAUAGAGUGUGUGAGCAGAUCACAAGGCCAGACCUUCACUCAUUUUCAACCAGAGUGAUCAUACAUAGGAACACAGAGUUCAAAUUCAUUCUCUGUAACUCAUGAUAUUAAACUAUUUUGAACGGAACUGCAAAAGAAGGAGAUGCAAUUUGAUUUUUAUCCUAUCAAAUCUUUCACCAAAUGUUGGAUUAUCUGAACGAAGGGCGAUCCUUUGUUCCUUUGCAAAUGGAGCCAUUGAAAUGGUCGCUAAGUUUACCACGUUCUGCCCUCCAUCAUCUCCCACCCUGCAGGCUCAGCAGCAGCAGCUAGCUUGAAAACAAGAACUUACGAAUGAGAAAAGGGUGGAGGACUUCCUCCUAAGGCAAAGCUGUAUUUCUCCAAGAACCUCCUGAGUAUAAUAACAUUAACAAAUACGUGAGUUGAGAUAUUGUCACCUCUUUCAUGUGUCUGUCCAUACUUUUGUUAAUAAUUUUGCUUAAACUAUUGUCCUGGCUUCAAUUUCAAGUCAUUUUACUUUAAUUCACUGUACGCCUUUUAACCAGGCUCUGAGCACUUUGGAGUUAAUCUAGGGUGUUUUGAUCAGACAGUAAUUGCCAUAAAGCUUUCCCUAAACUUUUCAGACAUUGAACUGGUAUUUUUACAGUCAAUGUUGAAUCUCUGCUGGUUGUAAUCCACAGCAGUGCACCUGGAUGCAAUUGUGCUUGUAAAACUAAACUUGACUGAUGUGUUUCACUUAGUGAGGACUCCAUUUGUUUCAUUGUAAAAAUUAGAGAGUGAUUCAGCAUUCAUGAGAAAACGUGGCAACAAAAGGUUAGCUGAACAGUAGUAGGAGUGGAGCCAUAUUGGGAGCAAUUGAAGGAGGAAAUGGUCUGGAUUUAUUGUCUGCAUUAAAGAUAUUGUGGGUCCCAUGGAUACCAGGAGUGUCAUGGAGACACAGCUAAUAGGAUUUUUAUUGGAUUAUUGUCGGGCUGUUGCACCUGCUUAUAAUGAGGAUGAUGUAGUUGAAUUUCUGGCACAACCCUUGAACAAGGAAUCAGAAAGGAGCUGAGAGAGCUGGAAGCUCUAAUAUUAAUUUUGAAGGAAAAAUUUACAAUUGCCUGAAAGCCAUUUCGAGCAAGCCAGCAGAACUGGGUAGCCUUUCUGUCUCUUUACAUAUACUAAUGUGUAGAAAAUACAUAGGUCAUUUCAGA
rnacentral:lncRNA from 1 species